rnacentral:lncRNA from 1 species
CACCUCUGUGCCAGCGCCGCUGAUCGCGUGAGUGUUUGAUUGCGAUGAUAACCGCUCGUGGGAGCCGUAAUUGAAUUGCCGCUCAGCCAGACUCGGCGAAGCGGCAUCUCAAAGGGAGACCGGCGGCACUAAUAGUCACAAGAUCCUCCGCAGCCUCCGUACGGCCGCUUCAUCCGUGGAGGGCACCAGGAGAACAUCAGGCUCCUCCGCCGGAGCUGCUCCUCCGGAUCGCCCACCACCCACCCGGAAUUUCCCAUGGACUAGGCGAAACUUGCCUCCGAGUCCGGGAAGCUGCCCRUGGGUCACCCCGUGUGUCUCCUGGGCUUCUCCAGUCCCCAUCCAGCUCGUUACCCUUUGGAAGAAGCUCUUCCUYGUCCCCUCUCAUUGCUCUGCAGCACCUCCAAGCAGGCGUCCACCGGCCUCCGCUGCGGCAAAAAACUAUUGGAAUGGUUUUAAGCAAUUCUUCUUACUGGGGAGCUGAUAAGGUUGAUUUACAGCAACCCAAUGGAUGCCGAGAGGGCGAAAAGAUACCGGAGCAGCGCUUGGUUUCAGGCCUCGCCUUGGAGCGGAUGCUGAUGCCAGGAGGAGCAUCGGGCCACGAUGGCUGGAAAAAGAAAGGUUGGGAAUUGUUUCGCUGAAAUUGGGAUUGUAAGUGAGGGGG